rnacentral:rRNA from 1 species
ACCAAGUCUCAAGAGUGAACACGUAAUUCAUUACGAAGUUUAAUUCAUUGAGCAUCAAACUUUUAAAUUGAAGAGUUUGAUCAUGGCUCAGAUUGAACGCUGGCGGCAGGCCUAACACAUGCAAGUCGAACGGUAACAGGAAGCAGCUUGCUGCUUUGCUGACGAGUGGCGGACGGGUGAGUAAUGUCUGGGAAACUGCCUGAUGGAGGGGGAUAACUACUGGAAACGGUGGCUAAUACCGCAUAACGUCGCAAGACCAAAGAGGGGGACCUUCGGGCCUCUUGCCAUCAGAUGUGCCCAGAUGGGAUUAGCUUGUUGGUGAGGUAACGGCUCACCAAGGCGACGAUCCCUAGCUGGUCUGAGAGGAUGACCAGCCACACUGGAACUGAGACACGGUCCAGACUCCUACGGGAGGCAGCAGUGGGGAAUAUUGCACAAUGGGCGCAAGCCUGAUGCAGCCAUGCCGCGUGUAUGAAGAAGGCCUUCGGGUUGUAAAGUACUUUCAGCGGGGAGGAAGGUGUUGUGGUUAAUAACCGCAGCAAUUGACGUUACCCGCAGAAGAAGCACCGGCUAACUCCGUGCCAGCAGCCGCGGUAAUACGGAGGGUGCAAGCGUUAAUCGGAAUUACUGGGCGUAAAGCGCACGCAGGCGGUCUGUCAAGUCGGAUGUGAAAUCCCCGGGCUCAACCUGGGAACUGCAUUCGAAACUGGCAGGCUUGAGUCUUGUAGAGGGGGGUAGAAUUCCAGGUGUAGCGGUGAAAUGCGUAGAGAUCUGGAGGAAUACCGGUGGCGAAGGCGGCCCCCUGGACAAAGACUGACGCUCAGGUGCGAAAGCGUGGGGAGCAAACAGGAUUAGAUACCCUGGUAGUCCACGCCGUAAACGAUGUCUACUUGGAGGUUGUGCCCUUGAGGCGUGGCUUCCGGAGCUAACGCGUUAAGUAGACCGCCUGGGGAGUACGGCCGCAAGGUUAAAACUCAAAUGAAUUGACGGGGGCCCGCACAAGCGGUGGAGCAUGUGGUUUAAUUCGAUGCAACGCGAAGAACCUUACCUGGUCUUGACAUCCACGGAAGUUUUCAGAGAUGAGAAUGUGCCUUCGGGAACCGUGAGACAGGUGCUGCAUGGCUGUCGUCAGCUCGUGUUGUGAAAUGUUGGGUUAAGUCCCGCAACGAGCGCAACCCUUAUCCUUUGUUGCCAGCGGUCCGGCCGGGAACUCAAAGGAGACUGCCAGUGAUAAACUGGAGGAAGGUGGGGAUGACGUCAAGUCAUCAUGGCCCUUACGACCAGGGCUACACACGUGCUACAAUGGCGCAUACAAAGAGAAGCGACCUCGCGAGAGCAAGCGGACCUCAUAAAGUGCGUCGUAGUCCGGAUUGGAGUCUGCAACUCGACUCCAUGAAGUCGGAAUCGCUAGUAAUCGUGGAUCAGAAUGCCACGGUGAAUACGUUCCCGGGCCUUGUACACACCGCCCGUCACACCAUGGGAGUGGGUUGCAAAAGAAGUAGGUAGCUUAACCUUCGGGAGGGCGCUUACCACUUUGUGAUUCAUGACUGGGGUGAAGUCGUAACAAGGUAACCGUAGGGGAACCUGCGGUUGGAUCACCUCCUUACCUUAAAGAAGCGUACUUUGCAGUGCUCACACAGAUUGUCUGAUGAAAA